CCUGCCAGUAGUCAUAUGCUUGUCUCAAAGAUUAAGCCAUGCAUGUCUAAGCACAAGCCUAGUUAAGGCGAAGCCGCGAAUGGCUCAUUACAACAGCCAUAGUUUCUUGGAUCUUACAUUCCUACUUGGAUAACUGUGGUAAUUCUAGAGCUAAUACACGCACAAAGCUCCGACCUUACGGAAGGAGCGCAUUUAUUAGAACAAAACCAAUCGGGGCAACCCGUCGUUUGGUGAAUCUGAAUAACUAUGCCGAUCGCACGGUCUUAGUACCGGCGACGCAUCUUUCAAGUGUCUGCCUUAUCAACUUUCGAUGGUAGUUUAUGUGCCUACCAUGGUUGUAACGGGUAACGGAGAAUAAGGGUUCGACUCCGGAGAGGGAGCCUGAGAAAUGGCUACCACAUCCAAGGAAGGCAGCAGGCGCGCAAAUUACCCACUCUCGGCACGAGGAGGUAGUGACGAAAAAUAACGAGACGGUUCUCUUACGAGGCCCGUCAUCGGAAUGGGUACAAUUUAAACCCUUUAACGAGGAUCUAUUGGAGGGCAAGUCUGGUGCCAGCAGCCGCGGUAAUUCCAGCUCCAAUAGCGUAUAUUAAAAUUGUUGCGGUUAAAAAGCUCGUAGUUGGAUCUGCGGCCUUUGGAUACUGGUCCUUCUAUUCGGAGUGUACUAGUUGUCCGGGCCUACCUCGCUGGUAUUCCUAUUGGUGCCCUUCAAUGGGUGUCAAUUGGGACCAGCACGUUUACUUUGAAAAAAUUAGAGUGCUCAAAGCAGGCGUCUCGCCUGAAUAGUGGUGCAUGGAAUAAUGGAAUAGGACCUCGGUUCUAUUUUGUUGGUUUUCGGAACUGCCGAGGUAAUGAUUAAGAGGGACAGACGGGGGCAUUCGUAUUGCGACGUUAGAGGUGAAAUUCUUGGAUCGUCGCAAGACGGACUACUGCGAAAGCAUUUGCCAAGAAUGUUUUCAUUAAUCAAGAACGAAAGUUAGAGGUUCGAAGGCGAUCAGAUACCGCCCUAGUUCUAACCGUAAACGAU
rnacentral:rRNA from 1 species